rnacentral:ncRNA from 14 species
GGCACCCGGUGCACGCCGGGCACACAACUGCAUACGUCCCGUGUGGGGGGAAGCCGGUUCCAAGCCGGCGCUGACCCGCAACCGUGAGCGAGAGUCUCCCUUUCGCGAGCCGGAAUGCCCCGCCCGGGACGAGCGGCUUCCA